AUACGUAGGGGGCGAGCGUUGUCCGGAAUGACUGGGCGUAAAGGGCGCGUAGGCGGCGCGGUAAGUCUGGAGUGAAAGUCCUGCUUUCAAGGUGGGAAUUGCUUUGGAUACUGCCGCGCUUGAGUGCAGGAGAGGUUAUCGGAAUUCCCGGUGUAGCGGUGAAAUGCGUAGAGAUCGGGAGGAACACCAGUGGCGAAGGCGGGUAACUGGACUGCAACUGACGCUGAGGCGCGAAAGUGUGGGGAGCAAACAGGAUUAGAUACCCUGGUAGUCCACACUGUAAACGAUGAAUGCUAGGUGUAAGAGGUAUCGACCCCUUUUGUGCCGGAGUCAACACAAUAAGCAUUCCGCCUGGGGAGUACGGCCGCAAGGUUGAAACUCAAAUGAAUUGACGGGG
rnacentral:rRNA from 1 species